rnacentral:lncRNA from 1 species
AAUGCCAAAAAAUUCAAAAGCAAAGGAAGAAUGAUUCAGAGUUUGUCAAAAGAGGAUGGUGAAUUAAGCUGUUUUUUUUUAAUCUAGAUUUGGUUGAACAUUUUUAUGUCACAAAAGUUGUUGGGUUGUAAUGCCUUAGUGUUGCAGACUGGUUUAUAAGAGUCUGAAUAAUUGUCUAUGUUGCUUUGGUAUUGUGGAAUAACAUGUAUUUUUUGGUCAAAAGAAAAAAUCAAGUAACCAAUGUAAACUUGUUUAAUAUCAUCAUAAUAUAACUGAAAAAAAGUAAUUAUAGUUAUACAAAAAAUAAUUAAUAAUUACCAUGUCCUUAAUAAUAAUUUAUAUCAUAGAUAGUUUUGUAAUAAAUUUUUUUAUAAAAUUAUAAUUAUUCAGUGUAAUUUUUAAAAUACAUAUAGUCACACUUUAUUUCUUAACCCAGUUGAGUUGAUUCCAAAAACACCCUUCGCUUACACCCCAAUCCCAUUUUCAUGUUUUCUUCGUCUUGCGAAACUUGAACCCCGAAUCUGAUGGCUUCAACUUUCAAAAAAUAAUCAUUAUCACCACUAGAACUUAUAAUUUUAAAAGUUAUUCCCAUAAUAUUUUCAUUAGAAUUUCUUAUAACAGCAUCCAACAUUGGUUAUUGAUAUUUUAAGGUUUCAUCUUAAAUAAUAAUAACAAAAUAAUUAAAUUUUUAUCAAAAUUUGAGGAAAUACAUUGUGCUCUGAUAAACAAGGAAUGUCAACUAAAUAUCGUCAAAAUAAAUAGUAAUUGUUAAGUUGAGUUUUGGUUUCACAUAAUUGUAAUCAUGGAGACUAGUUAUUCGAAUAAAAUUUAAUUUUCUUUUGUUUAUUAUUGUAAAUUUAAAUAGAGACAAAUGCAUGAUUAUAAAAAGAAGGGUUUGAUAAGGAUUAUUUAGGGUUACCAAUAGUACCACUCAUGAGCAAUAACAAAAAAUUAAACCCAUGCGAGGCCCACCUAAUCCAUUUUUACAAGUAGCUUAAAGAAUAAAACGAUAAUAAAACUAAGAAUAAUGUUAAGAUUUCAAUUUUUAAGUCUUAACUUAAGUAUUAAUGUCACAUGUCACUCAUCUAUUAAAUGAUAGAUUUCAUAACUUGUAACAUUAUUUAAUCACCAUCCAAUAAAUUAUUGUCAUAUCUGUUGAAAUUUAAAUUAAAACUUAGAUUUUGGAAUAUUUAGCAUUGAACUAAAUCUAAACAAUUUCAUUUUCUAUUAUUGUUAUUUUAUUUUAAUUUUUUUUUCACAAUCGGAUUUUGCUUCGAGACAGUACAUAGCCCUUUGGCUUUAAGCAUGCAUAGUAAUUGAGAAAAAAAAAAAUUAACCAUGAGUUUAUGAAAACCAACUAACUUCAAAAUCUCUUCUAGCACUAGGAGGAAUAUCAUCAAUUACUUUUUCAUGGCCUUUUGGGUAAUAAAUCCUAGUUCUUUCAUGAGGAACCCAGCUACUAACUAAUAACUAUUUAUUAGCAAAUUAACUAAAAAAAAUAUAAUGUAAGAUGGUUAUGUAGGAUGAGCAUGUACCUUUUGGAGGUCAUAACUUGAACUACAAAUACCUAUUUCGGACAUAUAAUAUGUUGUUUCAAAAUUGGCGAGAUGAUUCAAACUCAGAAUGACCUAUGGUCAAGUCGGAAAAUCCAUUUCUUUCCUUGUCAUUUUGCAUUUUUAAGUAAUUUUUUAUUUUUUUAUUACUUUUAGGAUUUUUAUAUUUUUCUAAAUAUUGGGUAAGGUGUCAUUUGUCUUGUUUUCCUUAUUUAGAUUAUAAGACUUUGAUUAUAAUGUAACACUUCAGAUUUGCAUAUAUGGGUAAAUUUGCGAUAUUUAUGAUUAGUAUAAAAGGGGCCAAAAACUUAGUUUUGUUCAUUCAGGCUUUUCCAAUAAAAUUUUCAUUAUUCAAAAACUUAUUUUUUUAAUCUUCCAAUCUUUUAUGUUUCUGCAUCAUCAAAAUAUAAGUAUGAAAGAUCUAGUAUUUCUGUAACUUUGCAACAAUCUUACUAAUAAUUAUUUAUAAUGAAUCAAUAUCAAUCAGCUUAAGGUAAUGUUUAAUAUCCUUUC